AUUUAAUAUAUUACAGAUUCUGAGACAGCCAGCUGGUAUUAAUGAAAACCAGAGAACUACUGAAGAUGCAUAUUUUACACUAAUGUUUUACUAAUAGCUGGAAUUGCAGCUGAAGUGAGCCUCCUUUAUUUUUCUAAAAGAAUCCCUAAUGACUGGAAUAUGUUGCUGUACUCUUACACUGUAGUGAGGAUCUCCAAAAUCAGCAGGAACAGCAAUUGCAAGGCAGCCAACCUGAAGUCCCUCAACCACCUUUCUCUAUAUGAAGGUCUGUUCUCCCUUCCCCUGGCAGUUAUACCAUUGUGCUGGAAGAAUUUUCUAAUGUCUUCUAUUUGUAUUUUCUAAUGUCUUUUUAAUGUCUUUUUAGUGUCUUCUAUUUCACGUCCUCAAGUGUGGGACCUUACAUAUGUUGUAAUAGUUUUUGGUAUUGGUUGAAGUCCCAUUAAGCUUCUGAAGUUCUUAAAUUGCUUCUUGGAGGGUUUGCUUUCUUUUUUUUUUCCUGUAACUCAGGUUAUAAAAGUAGCACCAUAAACAUUAAUUGAAGAGCCAUUAAGCAGUAUGGCUGUUUGUUUUGGUUGAUAGAGGAUAUAAAGCUUCAUACCCUGUGGUGGAAAACAAUUAGAUAUGAUGAUGAACAUGCUAUUAAAUAUACCAUUACCAGACUUCUAUCAGUUUAACUUUAGAAAAUAGCAACCAGCUGUAGCCGAAGCAUACACAAGUGAUAGGAAGUCAUAUUUUAAUUGUCAUGUCAUAGCCUGUUAUAAAUAUUGUCGUUUCUAAUGUUUUAUGCUAAUGACAGUGAGUAAUAGGAGUCAUUACUUCCAUUCAUUCUCAUUAAAAUUUCCUCAAGAGAGGAUGAUCACAACCAGAAUGCUGUUUAAAAUAAACUGUUUUUCUAAAAUAGAGCACAUAAAAAACAUUUAAAUACCAAGAGGUUGGCUAGCUAAUUUAUUUUGUGAUAGCAUGUGUUCAACAACUGCAGCUUUUGUUAAUUGUGCCAUCAGUUGAAUAGAUAUUCGUUUUAGAAACGUUUUUGGCAUACUAAUGUGUGUACAUGUCAUGUCUUCAUAUGGUCUCUGAAGAGUGGGAUAAAAGGUGAAUCUUAGAGAGACCAAAAAAAAAAGUCUUAUGCUACCCCUAUAGAGGCUUAAUAUUAAGAACAUUGAAUUUCCUCAUCCAUUUCUUAUUUCAGUUAUGAAUUCUGCUUACUUGACAGGUACAGAGUACUUCAUUAUGUGCACGAACAGAAAUGCUUAAAUGGAUGAAGCAGCUAUUUACGUCUGAUAGGAGCUAAGUGGGACAUUAAAUUAAUGCCAAACAAACACCCUGAAACAUCCUGCAAGGGGAUCAGCUGAGGAAAGAACAGUACACAUUUUAUUUUGUGAUACUGGACACAAUACAGAUGUUAGAGAUCAGAGGCUAUCAGAUGAAGGAGUAAGCAAGCAUGCUAAAAUUAUACCGCGGUUUCAGCAUAAGUCUUCUUUUGGGGUACUUGAAACAAAGAUGUGAAAAUUAAACUGGAUUUACCUAAACAUUUUUAGUAAACAGAGGUACCAUUUCAGAAUUAAUAUAUUUCUUUAGAUUCACACAUGUAUAAUACAUUUCAUUGCUGUUUAAAAAAGUAAUGUUACCAUAAUCUGAGUUUUGAAGGAAAAGACUAAAUACUUAAACAAGGUCAUGAACUGCUAGAUGAGAAGAAUAUAUGUGAAUUACAUAGACUAAAGAAACGGCAUCGAUGGGGACAUGGGCAGUGAGAUCACGAGUCAUUGACUAUGGCUUUGUGCUUCAGAGUGGGUUUAAUCUUAUUGACUGCUUUCCAUUCAUUCUCUUAUUUCCAUUGAAUAAGAUUCUAAAUCUUCUCCAGGUAAGAAGUGAAUAUUAUGCAAUCCAGUAGAUUUUGUACCCUGUUUUUAGCGUAUACAAGGCACAUCAGUGGUGCCAGUGUUUAUUCUUAACAUUCUGUAGUAAUCACCAAAUUUCACAACUCUGGGCGGUCAUGACUUCUGUAAAAGCAAAGAGAUAUUUCUAAAGCCUUCUACUGAGUAAUAAACCAGUGGCUUUUAUCCAGAUUUUGCAGGUCACUGAAUGUUCAAAACAGCAAAGCAAAUUAAAAGAGCCCCUUCUCUUUUGUUAUCAUGGUAAUUUUGCACUUGAGUAUAUGAUGAUGUGCUAAUGUAAAAGCUACUAAGGAAGAUACGGAGGGAUCUUCUUCUAACACUGCCUUGAAAGGUAGACAUAAAUGUUGCAUUUCAAACCACAACUCUCCUUGAAAUUUGAUUUCAUUUUAAAAGGCAUCUUGAGCACGAAAUUUUUGUUCCUUAUUAACUUCCAAUCAGAUGACUCCACACAGAAGUAAAAACAUAAAUUUCUUAUUGUCAGUCCUGUAACCUCAGCCUGAAAAUCAAGUGGCUACUUUUUGAUUUAUGUCUCAUCACUAUUAUUUAUGCUUCUACAGGCCAGAAAUUUUUUUUCCC